rnacentral:lncRNA from 1 species
AAAGAAUUUGGUUCCGUUAAACGUACGCACGUACCUAUUUGAUGUAAUUUUAAUUUAUGGUUUGUAUUUAUUUCAGUUUAAGUAAAUGGAAUGUUCAAAAUGUGAAACAGACAAAGAAGCAGAACCACUGAUUAAAAAUAAGGGCAGUUUUCAACAGUUUUUAAAGACUCCCAGUACAGCUCAAUCAUUAAUCAAUGGUAUUCAAGGUGGUUUUGGAAUUGGUUUAAUAUGGUUUUUUUAUUCAAGU